GAGCGGAACGCAUUCGUAUUAAGCAUAAUUUUAUAUCCGGGCGGGUUUCCUGCGGCCCGCGGAAAGGACACAAACGCGCAAACCGAAAACGUACGGAAAUAGAAGGAAUGAAAGCGUGCAGUGUAGUAGGUCGUGACUCUCGCGCAGCCUGUAAUGCUAUAAAACUCCAAACGCAAAGAACUAAAAGUAUGCAGGCGAAGUAGGAAUGGCAGGAAAGCAAGGACGUGCUGCUGGCAAAAGUAAGAAAAAAGUAAGAAUUGUGUGAGUGUGCUUGGAAUUCAUAAAUUCUACAUAAUUUAGCGUAUGAAUACGAAUUAUAACUGCGGAAGGCAUGAAAAAGUGCUGCUGCAACUUUUCACAAUCGAAACGUUGAUGUUCAUAAACAAGUCGAUUCCGCCUGCAUAAACAGAAAGAUACGACGCGCUCGUCCUGCAUGUCGCCUGUCAACUAUAAACCAUUUUCACUCGACCUUUUUUUUUCGCGCUCUUCUUCGGUGAAAAGCCGAUACUAUGUUUUACGCUCUCCUGCGCUAUUGAUUUGUAUUGAUGGAGUGAUACGUCUCUGGUAGGCUUGACGUAAAUGGAAAAAUGGAAAAAUUACCUUAGGUUAUCCUUAUAAAUUUACAAUAAAAAUAUUUUGCCUUAAA